AGCUCUGCACAGUCGCAGCAUCGUAGCCAAUGACGUUUAUCCGAGGCGCGAUUAUUGCUAAUUGAAAAAUUUUCCCAAUACCCCGCCAUGACCACUUGAAACAUAGUUGGCAUUGGCAAUUUUUGGCAGUCUCUAUGGGGA
ensembl:snRNA U4 U4 spliceosomal RNA